rnacentral:rRNA from 1 species
ACGUAGGCAGCGAGCGUUGUUCGGAGUUACUGGGCGUAAAGAGUAUGUAGGCGGUGCUGCAAGUUUGGUGUGAAAUCUCCCGGCUUAACUGGGAGGGUGCGCCGAAAACUGCAGUGCUUGAGUGCGGGAGAGGAGAGCGGAAUUCCUGGUGUAGCGGUGAAAUGCGUAGAUAUCAGGAGGAACACCGGCGGUGUAGACGGCUCUCUGGACCGUGACUGACGCUGAGAUACGAAAGCGUGGGGAGCAAACAG